UACGAGGGGGGCAAGCGUUGUUCGGAAUUAUUGGGCGUAAAGGGUGCGUAGGCGGUUUUGUAAGUCUUGUGUGAAAUCUUCAGGCUCAACUUGAAGACUGCACGAGAAACUGCAGGGCUUGAGUGUGGGAGAGGUGAGUGGAAUUCCUGGUGUAGCGGUGAAAUACGUAGAUAUCAGGAGGAACACCUGUGGCGAAAGCGGCUCACUGGACCACAACUGACGCUGAUGCACGAAAGCUAGGGGAGCAAACAGG
rnacentral:rRNA from 1 species